rnacentral:rRNA from 1 species
UGUCGAGCUUGCUCACAGGCACAUCAUAUCCAUAACACCUGUGCACUUGUCGGAUGGCUUAGUGAAGACCGCAAGGUUGAAUCUAUCCAUCUACUUUACAUAACAAUUCUGUAACAAAUGUAGUCUUAUUAUAACAUAAUAAAACUUUCAACAACGGAUCUCUUGGCUCUCGCAUCGAUGAAGAACGCAGCGAAAUGCGAUAAGUAAUGUGAAUUGCAGAAUUCAGUGAAUCAUCGAAUCUUUGAACGCACCUUGCGCUCCUUGGUAUUCCGAGGAGCAUGCCUGUUUGAGUGUCAUGAAAACCCUCAACCCUAGAUUGGUUAAAACCUUUCUUUGGUUUGGAUUUGGACGUUUGCCGAUGAUAAGUCGGCUCGUCUUAAAAGUAAUAGCUGGAUCUGUCUCGCGACAUGGUUUGACUUGGCGUAAUAAGUAUUUCGCUAAGGACAUCUUCGGAUGGCCGCGUUGCAGGACUAAAGACCGCUUUCUAAUCCAUUGAUCUUCGGAUUAAUACUCUUGACAUCUGGCCUCAAAUCAGGUAGGACUACCCGCUGAACUUAAGCAUAUCAA